rnacentral:rRNA from 1 species
GACGAACGCUGGCGGCGUGCCUAAUACAUGCAAGUCGAGCGCAGGAAACUGACGGAACUCUUCGGAGGGAAGGCAGUGGAAUGAGCGGCGGACGGGUGAGUAACACGUAAGGAACCUGCCUCAAGGAUUGGGAUAACUCCGAGAAAUCGGAGCUAAUACCGGAUAGUUCAUCGGACCGCAUGGUCCGCUGAUGAAAGGCGCUCCGGCGUCACCUUGAGAUGGCCUUGCGGUGCAUUAGCUAGUUGGUGGGGUAACGGCCCACCAAGGCGACGAUGCAUAGCCGACCUGAGAGGGUGAUCGGCCACACUGGGACUGAGACACGGCCCAGACUCCUACGGGAGGCAGCAGUAGGGAAUCUUCCACAAUGGACGAAAGUCUGAUGGAGCAACGCCGCGUGAGUGAUGAAGGUUUUCGGAUCGUAAAACUCUGUUGUAAGGGAAGAACACGUACGAGAGGGAAUGCUCGUACCUUGACGGUACCUUACGAGAAAGCCACGGCUAACUACGUGCCAGCAGCCGCGGUAA